CCCCGCGUCUUCACGGGGGGAGAGGCGGGACUUUGUCGCCUGG
rnacentral:tRNA from 1 species